GAGCGGCUUAAGGCAGGAGUUAUUUUUCUAACCUCCUGCGUCGGCCGGAGAUUUCUGAAGCCCUUUUUCGGACUUCCCCCGAGCGGCUUGAGGCAGGAGUUAUUUUUCUAACUUCCUGCGUUGAGCGGGGAUUUUUGAAACCCUUUUUCAGACUUCCCCCCGAGUAGCUUGAGGCAGGAGUUAUUUUUCUAACUUCCCGCGUUGAGCGGAGAUUUUUGAAGUCCUUUUUUGGACUUUCC
rnacentral:lncRNA from 1 species